GGAUGUAAAAUUCCUUAAUAAAAUGAUUUAUCAACUCUAAUACAAAACUCAACUAAUAUAUUUUAGUUUUCUGAAUUAGAAUUCUCAGUCACUCAUAUAUCCCAAGUUCCUAUAUAUAAUUUAUUCUUAAAAAUUUGAAGGAAAGAAGAUGGGGUGAGCUGAUAGCUCAAUAAAUAAUCAAAAUCCCAUAUUAGUUUGAUCAAAUAA
rnacentral:lncRNA from 1 species